rnacentral:rRNA from 1 species
CCUACGGGAGGCAGCAGUGGGGGAUAUUGCACAAUGGGGGGAACCCUGAUGCAGCGACGCCGCGUGGGUGAAGGAGUGCUUCGGCAUGUAAAGCCCUAUCGGCAGGGAAGAAGCAAGACGGUACCUGACUAAGAAGCCCCGGCUAACUACGUGCCAGCAGCCGCGGUAAUACGUAGGGGGCGAGCGUUAUCCGGAUUCACGGGGUGUAAAGGGAGCGUAGACGGCCAAGCAAGCCAGGGGUGAAAGCCCGGGGCACAACCCCGGGACUGCCCUUGAAACUGCAUGGCUGGAGUGCGGGAGGGGCAGGCGGAAUUCCUGGUGUAGCGGUGAAAUGCGUAGAUAUCAGGAGGAACACCGGCGGCGAAGGCGGCCUGCUGGACCGCGACUGACGUUGAGGCUCGAAAGCGUGGGGAGCAAACAGGAUUAGAUACCCUGGUAGUC